UAAAGAAGAAUCAUCAGUAACGUCAUACGAGAAAAACUUUGAGAAUUCAAAGAUUACAGAUACUCAUAUCCCAAUAAUUGUUUGUUCUCAUGAGGAGAAGGAAGACUUGGAAACUGGUAUUCAAAAUGUAAAAGAUGUAAACAGGAUCCAUGAUGAACAU